GAGGGUAGAGCUCAAAUGGUAGAGUGCAUGCUUAGCAUGCAUGAGGUCCUGGGUUCAAUUCCUGAUACCCCCU
rnacentral:tRNA from 1 species